CCCGCGGCGAUAGCUGAGUGGGUAAAGCGGCCAGUGGGAGAUGACGAUAACUCCAAGAGCAAAUAUCCGCGCGGGUUCGAAUCCUGCCCGUGGAA